rnacentral:rRNA from 1 species
AGUACGGUCGCAGAUUAAACUCAAAGGAAUGACGGGGGCCCGCACAAGCGGUGGAUUAUGUGGAUUAAUUCGAUGCAACGCGAAAACCCUUACCUGGCCUUGACAUGACCGAAUUGAGCAGAGAUGUUCAAGUGCUCGAAAGAGAACGGUAACACAGGUGCUGCAUGGCUGUCGUCAGCUCGUGUCGUGAGAUGUUGGGUUAAGUCCCGCAACGAGCGCAACCCUUGCCAUUAAUUGCCAUCAUUUAGUUGGGCACUUUAAUGGGACUGCCGGUGACAAACCGGAGGAAGGUGGGGAUGACGUCAAGUCCUCAUGGCCCUUAUGGCCAGGGCUUCACACGUAAUACAAUGGUCGGUACAGAGGGUUGCCAACCCGCGAGGGGGAGCCAAUCCCAGAAAGCCGAUCGUAGUCCGGAUUGUAGUCUGCAACUCGACUGCAUGAAGUCGGAAUCGCUAGUAAUCGCGGAUCAGCAUGUCGCGGUGAAUACGUUCCCGGGCCUUGUACACACCGCCCGUCACACCAUGGGAGUGGGUUUUACCAGAAGUAGUUAGUCUAACCGUAAGGGAGACGAUUACCACGGUAGGAUUCAUGACUGGGGUG